AGCGGCGGACGGGUGAGUAACGCGUGGGAACGUGCCUUCUGGUUCGGAAUAACCCUGGGAAACUAGGGCUAAUACCGGAUAAGUCCUUACGGAGAAAGUUUUAAUGCCAAAAGAUGAGCCCGCAUUUGAUUAGCUAGUUGGUGAGGUAAAAGCUCACCAAGGCGAUAAUCAAUAGCUGAUUUGAGAGGAUGAUCAGCCACAUUGGGACUGAGACACGGCCCAAACUCC
rnacentral:rRNA from 1 species